rnacentral:lncRNA from 1 species
GACUCGGAAAGGGAACUCCCUGACCCCUUGCGCUUCCCGAGUGAGGCAAUGCCUCGCCCUGCUUCGACUCGCGCAUGGUGCGCGCACGCACUGACCUGCGCCCACUGUCUGGCACUCCCUAGUGAGAUGAACCCGGUACCUCAGAUGGAAAUGCAGAAAUCACCAGUCUUCUGCGUCGCUCACGCUGGGAGCUGUAGACCGGAGCUGUUCCUAUUCGGCCAUCUUGUCUCCUCCCGUGGGCUUUUGGCUCAAUUCUGAAUAAACAGUGAACAUCCAUGUGGGAGCAAUGAGGAGGAACUGUAGCAUCUGAACUGGAAAUUCCCUGUCUCCCCUUAACCAGCACUGGAAGCAGAUGGGAAGAGAAUAGCUGUGACUGACUCACACUCUAACCCAGCAACCCUCAGCAUACAAGUGGGAGACCAUAAAGUUUUUCAAGACCCCAAAAGAGGCCAAAGGUCUGAUAAUUGCUGGGAGAAGGUCCACUAUCCAAGAAGAGAAGAGGAAAAGGAAUUAAAGUCU